UACGUGGCAUUGAUAUGAGUCAGAAACAUUUAUUCUAGUGUAAAAAUGGACUUCAACGUGUAAAUAGUAUAAUUUUGGUCAUAAAGUCAGUCCGGUCUAAAACGGAGUUUGGAACAGUGCAUGACAACGAGUGAAUUAAGGUUGGUAUUGAAUUAGUGCCGCACGGUUAAUCGAAUUCAGAUCGAAAUUGCGAUAUUGACAUAUGCAAUAUCCAUAUUGCGAUUUACUCCUUUCUUUGACACUCCAUUAAUACAACAUAACGCAAUGUAUGCUUCCAGCAGAAUGCACAGCCAACAACUAUGGUUUGCAUGCCCUGCCAAAAGGACCCUUAUUGCACAGUCAACAACUAUGGCCUGCCCUGCCGAAGAACCCUAUCAUGCAGAAUAAGUGGAUGGAGUUCGUUGGUUCCCAGUGGUGACAAAGUGUACAGUUGGGUGCCCUUGGUUUGAACGGAUCCUGGGACCUACAAGAAGGAACAAAGCUUGUCAGGCAAGACCUCAGAAUAAAAGUGUGUAAUGCAACAGAAGUACCCUUGUGACACUUCCUCCGUUGUUGCCAGAGUCUCCCUCGACUCCUAUGAAAAGGAGUUACUGCCCUGAUGACACAGAUGGCUUCAUCAACAACGAUAGGCCCUCCCAGUCAACAUCACCUCAUAAUAUUGCCUGCUGCAGUUGUGGAGACGUCCAGUUUGCAGCAGAACAUGCAGCAUAGAGAAGACCAGCAAGGGGGCCCUCAUCGGCCUCAUGCAGACAUGCCCUCGUUAUGAGCAUUCCUAUGAAUGGAACGGUCAGCCACAUGUUGGCAAGUAUAUGGCCAGCAACCUGCACCUGUCAGCACCAACAGCUUUCACAGGCUCCUCAUUUGUACAAAUACAGAAGUUGUGGCCAGGAGCUGAUCUACGCUGCUAUGGCCAUCAAUGGGGCUUGGGUAAAGAUCUCACCUCCAGCUUCACCUCUUGCCUGCUCACCAACUGUCGUCGAUGGGGAGACCAGAAUUGGAAACAUGUAUGGU